GUGGGGAAUAUUGGACAAUGGGCGAAAGCCUGAUCCAGCCAUGCCGCGUGAGUGAUGAAGGCCUUAGGGUUGUAAAGCUCUUUCAGUGGGGAAGAUAAUGACGGUACCCACAGAAGAAGCCCCGGCUAACUUCGUGCCAGCAGCCGCGGUAAUACGAAGGGGGCUAGCGUUGUUCGGAUUUACUGGGCGUAAAGCGCACGUAGGCGGAUCGUUAAGUCGGGGGUGAAAUCCUGGAGCUCAACUCCAGAACUGCCUUCGAUACUGGCGAUCUAGAGUCCGGAAGAGGUGAGUGGAACUCCUAGUGUAGAUGUGGAAUUCGUAGAUAUUAGGAAGAACACCAGUGGCGAAGGCGGCUCACUGGUCCGGUACUGACGCUGAGGUGCGAAAGCGUGGGGAGCAAACAGGAUUAGAAACCCGAGUAGUCC
rnacentral:rRNA from 1 species